rnacentral:lncRNA from 1 species
GGAAAAUAGAACACAUUCCCAGAAGUAAGGAAAAUCAAUAGAGUCUGCUUCUGACAUGACUAAAAUUUUAAGCAGCCAUUGUAUGCACUUUUAACGUAAAAAUCAAAACAUGUUUUCAAGGAAUGAGAAAUAGUAAGUAUUAAAAAAGAAGUAAACACAAUAAAGUUUGCAUUUCCAUUUCAAAUGGCAAUUCUAGAAGUGAAAAAUAGAAUUUCUGAAAUAAAAGAUUCACUCACAAUAGGAUGGCUAAAAUUAAAAAGACAGUUAACUCUAAGUGCUAUUGAGGACGUGGAACCGGAAAUCUCAUACAUAGCUGGUGUGAAUAGAAAGUGAUUUGGAAGUUUCUCAAAAGUUAAACAUAAAUUUAAUAAGUGACUCAAGAAUUCUACCCCUUGGUAUUCACCAAAAAGAAACCAAAACUUAUAAACAAGUCUCGUACUUACUAGCUUUAUACUUAAUAGCCUAAAUGGAAGCCACCCCAAAUGCCCACUCACAGAAGAAUGGAUCAACAAAUAUUCACCCAAUCGAAUGGUACUGGGCAAUAAAAGAGAAUGCCUUAUUUUUAUUAAUAACAUGAAUAUCAGAAACACUUUAAUGAGUGAAGGAAGACAGAUACAAAGGAGGAUAUAAUUUCAUUAGUAUAACAUUCUAAAACUGGCAAAACUAUUUUGUAUUUACAGAAAGCGAAGCAAUGAUCACCUGGGUUUGGAGCGGAGGAUGGGAACGAUGGCUCAGGCCACAAAGGGUCUUUGUGGCAUGGAGGAAAUAUUUUGUGUCUUUAUUGUGACAACGGGAAAAUACUUUUAUAGGCAAUCAAAUAUAUUUAGGAGACACUUUUCAUUCCUCCUAAAACCUGUUAACAUCAAGGAAAAUACUUUGUGAAAUGCUACUGUAUGGGGGAUAGAAGAACAACAAAACAAGGAAAUUGACUAUAAGCCCUUACACCCUUGAAGAAGAUAUAACAAGAACACGGACAUCUCUGUCACAAGACAUUUAGUGCUAAGUGCUGUAAAUAAAGAUCAAAAUAUGUAACA